rnacentral:rRNA from 1 species
GGCCUAACACAUGCAAGUCGAACGGUAACAGGAAGCAGCUUGCUGCUUUGCUGACGAGUGGCGGACGGGUGAGUAAUGUCUGGGAAACUGCCUGAUGGAGGGGGAUAACUACUGGAAACGGUAGCUAAUACCGCAUAACGUCGCAAGACCAAAGAGGGGGACCUUCGGGCCUCUUGCCAUCGGAUGUGCCCAGAUGGGAUUAGCUAGUAGGUGGGGUAACGGCUCACCUAGGCGACGAUCCCUAGCUGGUCUGAGAGGAUGACCAGCCACACUGGAACUGAGACACGGUCCAGACUCCUACGGGAGGCAGCAGUGGGGAAUAUUGCACAAUGGGCGCAAGCCUGAUGCAGCCAUGCCGCGUGUAUGAAGAAGGCCUUCGGGUUGUAAAGUACUUUCAGCGGGGAGGAAGGCGAUAAGGUUAAUAACCUCGUCGAUUGACGUUACCCGCAGAAGAAGCACCGGCUAACUCCGUGCCAGCAGCCGCGGUA